rnacentral:rRNA from 1 species
UGGGGAAUAUUGCACAAUGGGCGCAAGCCUGAUGCAGCCAUGCCGCGUGUAUGAAGAAGGCCUUCGGGUUGUAAAGUACUUUCAGUCGGGAGGAAGGUGUCAAGGUUAAUAACCUUGGCAAUUGACGUUACCGACAGAAGAAGCACCGGCUAACUCCGUGCCAGCAGCCGCGGUAAUACGGAGGGUGCAAGCGUUAAUCGGAAUUACUGGGCGUAAAGCGCACGCAGGCGGUUGAUUGAGUCAGAUGUGAAAUCCCCGGGCUUAACCCGGGAAUUGCAGCUGAUACAGGUCAGCUAGAGUCUUGUAGAGGGGGGUAGAAUUCCAUGUGUAGCGGUGAAAUACGUAGAGAUGUGGAGGAAUACCGGUGGCGAAGGCGGCCCCCUGGACAAAGACUGACGCUCAGGUGCGAAAGCGUGGGGAGCAAACAGG